UUAUAAGCAAAUGGCGGCGGCACAACGGUUGAAAAAGGAGCUUCAACAGAUUUCUAAAGACCCUCCUCCAGGUUGUUCUGCUGGCCUUAUAGGCGAUGAUAUAUUCAAAUGGCAAGGAAUGAUAGCGGGGCCAGAUGAUAGUCCUUACGCUGGAUGAGUAUUUUACUUACGAAUAACGUAUCCCAGUAAUUACCCAUUUCAGGCUCCAAAG